GGAAUGAGUACACUCUAAAUCCUUUAACGAGGAUCGAUUGGAGGGCAAGUCUGGUGCCAGCAGCCGCGGUAAUUCCAGCUCCAAUAGCGUAUGCUAAAGCUGCUGCGGUUAAAAAGCUCGUAGUUGGAUCUCAGUUACGGGCGGGUGGUGCAUCUACCCGAUGUGACAGCCCGAUCUGAACAUCUUACCUUCUAUCCUCUGGUGUCCUUCACUGGAUGCCUUUGGGUGGUCGGUGCAUUUACUUUGAAAAAAUUGGAGUGCUCAACGCAGGCGAAGUGCCUGAACACUUAUGCAUGGAAUAAUAGAACAAGACCCCGUUUCUGUUCUGUUGGUUUUUGGAAAACGAGGUAAUGAUCAAGAGGGACAGACGGGGGCAUUCGUAUUGCGGCGCUAGAGGUGAAAUUCUUGGACCGUCGCAAGACGAACUACAGCGAAAGCAUUUGCCAAGAAUGUUUUCAUUGAUCAAGAACGAAAGUUAGAGGUUCGAAGGCGAUCAGAUACCGCCCUAGUUCUAACCAUAAACGAUGCCAACCAGCAAUCCGCCUGAGUUACUCCAAUGACUCUGCGGGCAGCUUCCGGGAAACCAAAGUAUUUGGGUUCCGGGGGAAGUAUGGUUGCAAAGCUGAAACUUAAAGGAAUUGACGGAAGGGCACCACCAGGAGUGGAGCCUGCGGCUCAAUUUGACUCAACACGGGAAAACUUACCCGGCCCGGACACUGGGAGGAUUGACAGAUUGAGAGCUCUUUCUUGAUUCG
rnacentral:rRNA from 1 species